rnacentral:rRNA from 1 species
GAGUCAUUGGGACUCUGUUAAACCUAAAGGCGCAAUGAAAGUAAAGGUCCGCCUCGCGCGGACCGAGGGAGGAUGGGCCCGUCCCCGGACGGGCCCCGCACUCCCGGGGCGUCUCGUUCUCAUCGCGAGAAGAGGCGCACCCAGAGCGUACACGCUGGGACCCGAAAGAUGGUGAACUAUGCCUGGUCAGGACGAAGUCAGGGGAAACCCUGAUGGAGGUCCGUAGCGAUUCUGACGUGCAAAUCGAUCGUCGGAACUGGGUAUAGG